rnacentral:lncRNA from 1 species
CCAUGUGUAUGCAAGGAGCAUGGCGGCUUCAUUAAAUCCUGUGGGUGUGGGGCCCGCGUCUUAUAGUUCCAAUGCUAUGCUCUACUUGUUUAUCCUUUGCGAGGGAUGAAGGCAAGCUCUCACAAGAAGUAAUCCUUUUCGUCUCCUCGAUGGCAAGCAUCGAUCACCAGAGCCUAGGCCUAGCAUCCAGUGCCCUCAGCUUGGUGCAGCCGCAAUCCAGCAGAGGCGAGGUAGCAUGUUCGCCGCUUCAUUCCCUUUAGCUCGGACGGCAGCGGAAGCAAGGUAGCGGACCGCCGGCCAUGAGAGUUUCUCCUCCCCCCUCCUCGCUGGCCAUGAGAGAAAUGAGAGUUUCUCCUUCUCCUGCCGCCUCCUCGCCGUGCGUGCAUGGCCACGGAGGCAAGGUGGCCGCCUGUCUCGCGUUGGUUACCUUCAUGGUGGUCGCCUUGGAUGCCGGCACCGGAGCUUCGUCCUGGUUCGUUUCUUCCUCGUCUUCUCCUCCAGGCCUUCUCUCCUCCUUGCGGCCAACCGCGAGGGGCGGCGGCAAUGGGGACGCGGCCCCUCUCCUGGCGGCCUCCAGGUCCAGCUAUGCUGCUGCCGGCGGCAAGAACAGCACCGCCAAGGCGGCG